ACGUUCCCGGGCCUUGUACACACCGCCCGUCACACCAUGAGAGUUGGUAACACCCGAAGUCCGUGAGGUAACCGUAAGGAGCCAGCGGCCGAAGGUGGGAUUGAUGAUUGGGGUGAAGUCGUAACAAGGUAGCCGUAGGAGAACCUGCGGCUGGAUCACCUCCUUUCUAGGGAG
rnacentral:rRNA from 1 species